rnacentral:rRNA from 1 species
AUUGAACGCUGGCGGCAUGCUUUACACAUGCAAGUCGAGCGGCAGCGCGGGGGUUCAGGCAACUGAGUUCUGGCGGCGAGCGGCGAACGGGUGAGUAAUGCAUCGGAACGUACCUAGGAGUGGGGGAGUAGCUCGGCGAAAGACCGGAUUAAUACCGCAUAUUCUGUACGCAGGAAAGCUGGGGCGUUCGCAAGAACCUAGUGCUUUAGUAGCGGCCGAUGUCCGAUAGCUAGUUGGU